AUUGAACGCUGGCGGCAGGCUUAACACAUGCAAGUCGAGCGGUAACAGGAGAAGCUUGCUUCUCGCUGACGAGCGGCGGACGGGUGAGUAAUACUUAGGAAUCUACCUAGUAGUGGGGGAUAGCUCGGGGAAACUCGAAUUAAUACCGCAUACGACCUGCGGGAGAAAGGGGGCAACUUGUUGCUCUCGCUAUUAGAUGAGCCUAAGUCGGAUUAGCUAGAUGGUGGGGUAAAGGCCUACCAUGGCGACGAUCUGUAGCUGGUCUGAGAGGAUGAUCAGCCACACCGGGACUGAGACACGGCCCGGACUCCUACGGGAGGCAGCAGUGGGGAAUAUUGGACAAUGGGGGCAACCCUGAUCCAGCCAUGCCGCGUGUGUGAAGAAGGCCUUUUGGUUGUAAAGCACUUUAAGCAGUGAAGAAGACUCCAUGGUUAAUACCCAUGGACGAUGACAUUAGCUGCAGAAUAAGCACCGGCUAACUCUGUGCCAGCCGCCGCAGUAA
rnacentral:rRNA from 1 species